AAGAGGACAUACCCUUCUUGCGGUCGCGGCUGGACCGAGGGUGGAGGGCCCUGCGCCUGCGUGGACCUGGAGUCCUGCUCUACCGCAGCCGCUGGGAGGCCAGCGGUUGCAGUGGGGACCUGUCGGGCCCCUCCCUCCUCCGGUGCCCCCCACCAGGUCCUUCCCCACGGAGACGCGCCGGCUGACCGCGGGCGAGUGCAGCCAGUGACCCGGCAAGAGGCGGCGCCGCUCCCAAGAAGUCUCAGACGGCCGUGUACGAAACCUACUAUUUUUUUUAAGUUCUUAGUUAUUGGAAAUGCAGAACUGGCAACUCUUGCUUAUUUCGUCAGUUUAUUGAAAAAAAAAAUCAAAAUGACUCAAAUCAUACAAUAGGAGUGGAAUUUGGUUCAAAGGUAAUAAAUGUUUGUGGUAAAUAUGUAAAGUUACAAAUACGGGAUACAGCACGACAAGAACGAUUCAAGUCUGUGAAGAGAAGUUAUUACCCAGGGGCGACCGGGGCUCUCCUCGUCUAUAAUAUCAGCAGCCGAGAAACCUACAAUGCACUUACUAAUUGGUUAACAGAUGCCCGAAUGCUAGCGAGUCAGAACAUUGUGAUCAUCCUUUGUGGAAUGCAGAUCGUGAAGUUACCUUCUUAGAAGCCUCCAGAUUUGCUCAAGAAAAUUAGCUGAUGUUUUUGGAAACAAGUGCACUAACAGGGGAGAAUGUAGAAGAGGCUUUUGUACAGUGUGCAAGAAAAAAUACUUAACAAAAUUGAAUCAGAUGAGCUGGACCCAGAAAGAAUGGGCUCAGGUGUUCAGUACAGAGAUGCUGUAUUGAGACAGCUGAGAUCACUGCGGUGCACACAGGCCCCAAAAGCUCAGAAGUGUGGUUGUUAGGAGCCAUGGGACAGCACACAGGUGUUCAUACAGUGGCAUUUGGGACACAAUUGUUGGAACCUUAAGAAUCUGAGGUUUUUUACCACCAUCCUUUUCUACACUGUAUGGAAGUAGAUCUUUAUGGGGAAAAGAGAAUUUGGGGUGUUCUGCCAGCUAGUCAAAGUGGCACAGCAAAUCAUAUAAAUCCAAUUAAAUGGACAACACCAUUAGAUGUGUAUGUAAAAAUUUUCUGUUUCAUAUUUUCCCUUUCCCUUUCAGUUUAAAACAUGCUAUAAACAUGCUAUGUACUGUAUGUCCUGGAGCCCAGUGCAGCUCCACAGCAUGGAAUCUGAUGUAUGAUAUGAUAGAAUGUGGCACUAAAUGCAGUUUCAGAUUUAAUUUUUUUUAAUCGUA